GACGAACGCUGGCGGCGUGCUUAACACAUGCAAGUCGAACGGUAAGGCCCUUUCGGGGGUACACGAGUGGCGAACGGGUGAGUAACACGUGAGUAACCUGCCCUGGACUCUGGGAUAAGCAUUCGAAAGGGUGUCUAAUACUGGAUAGGACCUGUGGCCGCAUGGUUGUGGGUGUAAAGAUUUUUCGGUCUGGGAUGGGCUCGCGGCCUAUCAGCUUGUUGGUGGGGUGAUGGCCUACCAAGGCGGUGACGGGUAGCCGGCCUGAGAGGGCGACCGGCCACACUGGGACUGAGAUACGGCCCAGACUCCUACGGGAGGCAGCAGUGGGGAAUAUUGCGCAAUGGGCGGAAGCCUGACGCAGCAACGCCGCGUGCGGGAUGACGGCCUUCGGGUUGUAAACCGCUUUCACUCAUGACGAAGCUUUUGUGACGGUAGUGGGGGAAGAAGCACCGGCCAACUACGUG
rnacentral:rRNA from 1 species